AGACGCCAGCCUAGGGAGGGGUGAGGAGGAGGCUGCACUGGCGCUCGGGUCGCCGCACCGCCCCGCAGCCUCGCGCUCUCCGCAGUGACAGCAACCGCAACCACAGCAACACCCAGCUCCAUCUUCACCAGCCUGGCUGAGCCACAGCCCGGCAAUUCGGGCUGAGGACGACAAACAGAAGGUGUGCAGGUGCCCCCGAGCCCCCCACUCCAUUGACGGAAGCUCAAGAAACCGGGAGUGGGCUAGCGGCGGUAUUGCACAGAGGGGACUGAGAAAAAGAGGACUGGAGACCAUGAAUCUAUUCAGGCAGGGAUGUGGCUUCUCUUAGCUGAAUAAUCCGUUAAAGGAAUAAUAAUUUUUAAAAAGGACC
ensembl:lincRNA Mir124a-1hg uncharacterized LOC110309930